rnacentral:rRNA from 1 species
CCGUUUUAGGUGACUGCGAAGGAUCAUUGUCGAAGCCUCACAAGCAGAGCGACCCGUGAAUUUGUUUGACUACUAAGGGGUGGGCAGAGGUGUUCGGCACCUCGACCGCCCCUCGUGUCGGGAGGCGCCCCACCUUGUGUGGUAUUCCUCCAGGCAUAAUUAACAAAACCCCGGCGCCGAACGCGCCAAGGAAAUUGAAAUCGUUUAGUGCGCCCUUGUCGGCCCGGAGACGGUGUCAGCGAGUGGCGUUGCGAAACACGUAUCCAAAAGACUCUCGGCAACGGAUAUCUCGGCUCUUGCAUCGAUGAAGAACGUAGCGAAAUGCGAUACUUGGUGUGAAUUGCAGAAUCCCGUGAACCAUCGAGUCUUUGAACGCAAGUUGCGCCCGAAGCCAUUAGGCUGAGGGCACGCCUGCCUGGGUGUUGCACAUCGUUGCCCCCGUGCCUUGGCCAUGUGCUAGGCACCGAGCGGGGCGAAUGUUGGCUUCCCGCGAGCAACGUCUCACGGAUGGCUGAAAACUGAGUCCGCGGUGGAGGGCACCGUGAUGGAUGGUGGCUGAGUUAAAGCUCGAGACCGAUCGUGCGUGUCCCACCCACCAGCUUUGCGACUCUGUGACCCAUUGCGGUCUGUUUGGCUGCCUAAGACGGGAACCUCAGGUCAGGCGGGGCUACCCGCUGAGUUUAAGCAUAUCAAUAAGCGGGAGGAGGA